rnacentral:rRNA from 1 species
AGAGUUUGAUCCUGGCUCAGGAUGAACGCUAGCGGCAGGCUUAACACAUGCAAGUCGAGGGGUAUAGGUUUUCGGACCUAGAGACCGGCGCACGGGUGCGUAACGCGUAUGCAAUCUACCUUUUACAGAGGGAUAGCCCAGAGAAAUUUGGAUUAAUACCUCAUAGUAUUACAGAAUGGCAUCAUUCAGUAAUUAAAGUCACAACGGUAAAAGAUGAGCAUGCGUCCCAUUAGCUUGUUGGUAAGGUAACGGCUUACCAAGGCAACGAUGGGUAGGGGUCCUGAGAGGGAGAUCCCCCACACUGGUACUGAGACACGGACCAGACUCCUACGGGAGGCAGCAGUGAGGAAUAUUGGUCAAUGGGCGCAAGCCUGAACCAGCCAUGCCGCGUGCAGGAUGACGGUCCUAUGGAUUGUAAACUGCUUUUGUACAGGAAGAAACAUCUCUACGUGUAGAGACUUGACGGUACUGUAAGAAUAAGGAUCGGCUAACUCCGUGCCAGCAGCCGCGGUAAUACGGAGGAUCCAAGCGUUAUCCGGAAUCAUUGGGUUUAAAGGGUCCGUAGGCGGUUUUGUAAGUCAGUGGUGAAAGCCCAUCGCUCAACGGUGGAACGGCCAUUGAUACUGCAAGACUUGAAUUAUUAGGAAGUAACUAGAAUAUGUAGUGUAGCGGUGAAAUGCUUAGAGAUUACAUGGAAUACCAAUUGCGAAGGCAGGUUACUACUAAUGGAUUGACGCUGAUGGACGAAAGCGUGGGGAGCGAACAGGAUUAGAUACCCUAGUAGUCC